CCCGCAGCAGGAGCCGACCGCGCGGGCAGGAGGGGUUAAGGUGGCGCUAGCGGCCGCGGCCAGCGGGAGGGUCUGGUCCUCUGCGCCGAGGCGAGCGGUGAGCGCGCCGGACGGAAUCCCGGCCGGAGCCCGGGGCGAUGGGGAGAGGGCCCAGACCCUCCCCGCCCUGGGGCCUGCGGGAUUGGGUCGGCAGGGGGCCAGUCCGGAAGCCGGCUUCCUCCAGGCUCCCCCUCUCGCUGCUGCCAAGCAGCCUCACAGCUAGGCAGGCUGAGCGUUUGUUCUGUGCUCCCUGCUGAGGAGAUGUGAGGGAUUUUCUCUUGGGGGAGAAAUCAGUGGUCCAGCGACUGCCCAGCUCAAAUGCCACCCGGCUCAGAGGGAGGCCUGCGGCCCAGGGAUCCCGGAGGGAGAGCAACGUCACACCUCCUGAGGACAGCCAGGACUCCAGCUUUUGCUGAGCUUUGCAUCUUGCCUCCUUCCUUCAAAAGGCUCCAGGCCCAUGCUCGGCUGUCUUCAAGUCCCGCAUGCCCCUGGCCAGGCAUCACAUCGCCCCUCCAGCCCAGCCCAGUCCUAGAGCUCACCUCCAGGACCCAGAAUCUGCCCUCCUGCCCAGAAUGACUCACCAUUAUUUCUAGCUGGAGUGAGAAGACGUGAUGGGGAGUUGGGCUGCCUGUUUGUGCAUCUAAGAUUCCUGCAGCAUCUGAUCAGCUCUGCAAGGAAGAGAGCUUCAGGUUCCUGUCUGGUCAGGUAAAUCAAUCUAUCAUUUAAUAACAACCUUGUGUAGAAUCAUUAGGGUAGAGGCCAAUGAGGAAGACCCAGGCCCAAGAUCCCCCACCGUGAAUACCUCCCUGGGUACGAGUAUCUGAGACAUUAGUGCAGCACCUGGGAGAGGGUCCACUUUUAACCUAUUAGCAUGGGGUUAUGCUCCACGAAGCCUGUGUGGUACAAGUGGGCCUGUACCAGCCACCUUCCCCCAGUGCAGGGCAUUCCAGAGGUUCCUUGAGAGAUUGCUACCUGCUCCCCCUGAUCCCCAGACAAGUUACAAGGUGAAAGUACAUUUUGCUUUGUCGUUGUGGUGGUGGUGAUCAUGUUUCUGAACUCUUGGCUGAGAGAUGGGAGACAAAAAGUGGCAACCCAUGUCGGGCUGCCAAUGCUGAGUAGCCGCAUGUCAAUAACUGCCUCUGUCUUUCAGCCAAGCGAGGCUGUCUCUCCAGCUCUCAGAGAGCUCUCGGGGCUCUCCUGCAGGAGACCAGGCCAAUGCUCCUGUGCUUCCUGGGGCCAGUAGCAGCACCCUGAGCUCCCUGCCACCAGGCAGCUGAAAGGCAUAGCGUGA
rnacentral:lncRNA from 1 species